UGAAAAAAAAAACAUUGUAACACUGUAAUAUACUUAAACCAUAAACUUCAGACGGUACAGAAUGCUGCAGCCAGAGUUCUAACAAACACUAAAAAAUUUGAUCAUAUUACACCGGUCUUAUCCUCUCUUCGUUGGCUGCCAGUUAAGUCUCGAAUUGACUAUAAAAUACUGCUAUUAACUUAUAAAGCACUAAAUGGCCUUGCACCAGAAUACCUUAGUGAUCUGCUGACCACAUACAACCCUCCAUGCUUGCUUCGAUCUCAAGCCAUGGGAUAUCUGCUAGUGCCUUGGGUAGAAAGAGCUACGGCAGGCUGCAGAGCUUUCUCCUACAAAGCUCCUCAGCUGUGGAAUGGUCUUCCACCGGAUGUGCGGGUUUCAGGCUCACUCUCAAUAUUCAAGUCCAGACUAAAAACACACCUGUUUAGUUUAGCGUAUAGGGACACUAGUUCUAGCCCUAGCUAACUCUUCACUCCCAGUCAGACCUGUAGUGUGAGGUGUAGAGCUGGGUGGGGAUCGGUGCCAUUGGCUUUGGAUAAACUGGACUGUCAGUGCUGUCACUCUAGCUUCGCAAUCUCUUGUGGAACUGGAGUGCUGACAUUUCAGGGACUCCCCAUGCCUGCAUUCCCACUUGCCCCUCCCUCCUACUGAUGCUGCCAUAGCCAUAUCUGCCGGAGCUUGCAGAUUGCACUUCAUAUUGCACUCACCUAGCUUUUAGCACUGCCAAUAGCCUCCUCUACUUUGCCUAAUUGUACAUUUUAUUUCCCCUACUCCUCCUGGGGGGUGAUGCCUGGAGACCUCAAUCUAUCAAGAUAUCCAGCACACCCGGCCACAUGUGACGUCGCCACCACCAGUGACGUCCCUGCAUCCAGCUCGCCGUUCUGAUCUUCCAUGUAUGACCCGCUGCCUUACCUCUGGUUGCCUGGCGAUUGGAAGAAGACUCAGCAUCGGCAUUGGCUUGUCAUCUUCCUUGCUCUCCAGUUAUUUCCCAAAUCUUAUGAUUGGGACAAUGUGACUUGGCCCAUCUCUGGCACUUAACCAUCUCUCUAUUUGACUAUCCCUGCCGGCCCCUGGAGGAUGGGCUCCCCCUUUGAGUCUGGUCCCUCCCAAGGUUUCUUCCUUCUAGGGAGUUUUUCCUUGCCACUGUCGCCUAUGGCUUACUCACUGGGGGCUUUGGGUGAGGAUACUGUAAAGCGCUUUGAGACAAUGUAAUGUUGUGAUAAUGCGCUAUAUAAAAAUAAAUUUGUUGUUGUUGUUGUUGUUAA